rnacentral:rRNA from 1 species
GAUGAACGCUGGCGGCGUGCCUAAUACAUGCAAGUCGAGCGAACAGACGAGGAGCUUGCUCCUCUGACGUUAUCGGCGGACGGGUGAGUAACACGUGGAUAACCUACCUAUCAGAAUGGGAUACCUUCAGGAAACCGGAGCUACUACCGGAUAAUAUAUUGAACCGCAUGGUUCAAUAGUGAAAGACGGUUUUGCUGUCACUAAUAGCUGGACCCGGGCCGCAUUAGCUAGUUGGUAGGGUGGCGGCUUACCAAGGCGAGGAUGGUUAGACGACCUGAGGGGGUGAUCGGCCACACUGGAACUGAGACACGGUCCAGACUCCUGCGGGAGGCAGCAGUAGGGAAUCUUCCGCAAUGGGCGAAAGCCUGACGGAGCACCGCCGCGUGAGUGAUGAAGGUCUUCGGAUCGUAAAGCUCUGUUAGUAGGGAAGAACUAAUGUGUAAGUAACUAUGCACGUCUUGACGGUACCGGAACAGAAAGCCACGGCUAACUACGUG